CUUCAACAUUCUUUUGAGCCUAUGGUCAAAUACUUAUAAGCCAUACUUUUAUAAAAAAUACAGUUAUCCCAUACAGCUUGAUAAACCUUGCAUGGGCUUAACUGUAAUAGAUCUACAAUAUAUAGUAAGUUAUGAGCUUGUUUUUUCAUCCAUCUCUUAUAAAUAGUUUCAGCUCUCUUAUUUUCAAACACAUUUGAGUUUGGUAAUGAACUUGACAUGCAUAUAUACCAUGGCUAGUAGGUGGAUUGCAUUGAAUAACUUGACAUAGUUCUAUAUAAGUUGUUUGUUAGUAUAAUGUAUGUGAUUUAUGGGUAAACAGUAAUGCACUAGAAUGAAAUUACCCUGAUACUUCUAAAAUUGCAACACAAUUGUGUUUAUUUACAUGCAGCACACCUCUCUAUUGGUUCCCAUGAUUAUCCUCUAGGUCAUAUUGCUAUCAAUUGGCAAACUUAGCAUUUCAGAAUGAACCACUUUAUGGUUUCAGUAAUUUGGUCUAUUGAAGAAAUUUUAUUGUUAUAAGGCUUAAUAUUAGAUCUUAUUUCACUUUUAAUCUUAUUUCAUUGAACUUUAGAAAAAAGGGUAUAAUUGAUUUUUAU
rnacentral:lncRNA from 1 species